GUCUAUGGCCAUGCCACCCUGAACACACCCGAUCCCGUCUGAUCUCGGAAGCCAAGCAGGAUUGGGCCUGGUUAGUACUUGGAUGGGAGACCACCUAGGAAUAUCAAGUGCUGUAGGCA
rnacentral:rRNA from 1 species